AUUUACUAAUAAGUUGAUUUUUUAAUAUAUUAAAGACAAAAGUUAUCAUCAUAUCGAUGAUAAUUAUGAACAUAUCCAUGUGUUUUUUAUAUCUAAGUUAGGCCUAAUAAUAAUAAUAUUUGGAAAGAUCCAUCAUUCCGUGAAGAUGUUUAUAAUUUUAUUUGGAAGAGAACAAAACUUAUUUCUCCUCUACAAUUACGAAAAAUUAAAAUUUUCCCUGAUGAAGAUGAGAUGAUAGGCAUUUAUGGUUAUAUUUCAGAAAAUAAUCCAGAUAUAAAAACUGCUCCAGGCUGCAAUGAUAUUGAUGUUAUUACUGCUCUGGAAAACUUGAAGAUGGCAUUAAAUGAAACACUUAAUUUUAAUUCAACAGAUAUUAAACAGCAAUUAACGAUAACUUCUGUUAUGGUUAAUAUUUCAAAUAUAUAUAUUGAUCAACAAAAACUCAAAAAGAAUUCUAUAAAUGGAAAAAAAUAUAGCUCAGG
rnacentral:lncRNA from 1 species